rnacentral:tRNA from 1 species
GCGGACAUGGUGGAAUUGGCAGACACGCUGGUCUUAGGAGCCAGUGCGCAAGCAUCCGGGUUCGAAUCCCGGUGUCCGCACCA